rnacentral:tRNA from 1 species
GGGAAUGUAGCUCAGUGGUAGGGUGCUUGCCUAGCAUGGACAAGACCCUGGGUUCAAUCCCCAGUCCCA